UACAGAGGUCUCAAGCGUUGUUCGGAUUCAUUGGGCGUAAAGGGUGCGUAGGCGGCGCGGUAAGUCGGGUGUGAAAUCUUGGAGCUUAACUCCGAAACUGCAUUCGAUACUGCCGUGCUUGAGGACUGGAGAGGAGACUGGAAUUUACGGUGUAGCGGUGAAAUGCGUAGAUAUCGUAAGGAAGACCAGUGGCGAAAGGCGGGUCUCUGGACAGUUCCUGACGCUGAGGCACGAAGGUCAGGGGAGCAAACGGG
rnacentral:rRNA from 1 species